rnacentral:SRP_RNA from 1 species
GCUAGGCAUGAGGGCAGGUGCCUGUAGUCCCAGCUACUCUGGAGGCUGAGGCUGGUGGAUCGCUUGUGUGCAGGCAUUCUGGGCUGUAGUGCACUAUGCCUAUCGGGUGUGCACACUAAGUUCGGCAUCAAUAUGAUGACCUCCCGGGAGCAGGGGACCACCAGGUUGCCUAAGGAGGGGUGAACCGGCCCAGGUCAGAAAUGGAGCAGGUCAAAACUCCCAUGCUGAUCAGUAGUGGGAUAGCACCUGUGAAUAGCCACUGCACUCCAGCCUGGGCAACAUAGUGAGACCCUGUCUCU